GACGAACGCUGGCGGCGUGCUUAACACAUGCAAGUCGAACGGAGUGGCGAACGGGUGAGUAACACGUGGGUGACCUGCCCUGCACUUCGGGAUAAGCCUGGGAAACUGGGUCUAAUACCGGCUAGUGUGGGAUGGGGGCGCGGUCUACCAGCUUGUUGGUGGGGUACUGGCCUACCAAGGCGGCGACGGGCAGCCGGCCUGUGAGGGUGGACGGCCACAUUGGGACUGGGGCAGCGCCCAGAGUCCUACGGGCGGCAGCAGUGGGGGAUAUUGCACAAUGCGCGGAGGCAUGAGUCAGGGACGCCGGGUGGGGGAUGACGGCUUUCGGGUUGUAAACUCCUUUCACCGUCGACGCGGUAGAUGGAGAAGAAGCACCGGCUAACUACGUGCCAGCAGCCGCGGUAAUAC
rnacentral:rRNA from 1 species